GUGGCACAGCCGUGGUGACAGCGCCGUGGUGACAGCGGUGACACUGCAGCGGCAGUGGCUGCACAGCAAGGUGACAGUGACACGGUGACGUCCCCGGUGUCCCCGCACAGGUGACAGAGCACCAGGUGACAGAGUACCAGGUGUGCGUGCCCCGCCCCCUGGGCCGCCUCCUCCUGCUCCAGGUGCACA